AUUGAACGCUGGCGGCAGGCCUAACACAUGCAAGUCGAGCGAGCGGCGGACGGGUGUGUAAUGUAUGGGGACUGCCCGAUAGAGGGGGAUAACUACUGGAAACGGUGGCUAAUACCGCAUACUAUCGGAUAACCCAUAUGGGUUGAGCUAGUAGGUGGGGUAAAAGCUCACCUGGGCCACGAUCUCUAGCUGGUCUGAGAGGAUGAUCAGCCACACUGGGACGGAGACACGGCCCAGACUCCUACGGAGGCAGCAGUGGGGAAUAUUGCACAAUGGGGGCAAGCCGGAUGCAGCCAUGCCGCGUGUUUGAAGAAGGCCUUAGGGUUGUAAAGUACUUUCAGCAGGGAGGCGUUACCCGCAGAAGAAGCACCGGCUAACUCCGUGCCAGCAGCCGCGGUAAUUC
rnacentral:rRNA from 1 species